CGUGGCCAACAUCUGCACUGCUCUCUAGGUCACGUACGUCAUUACUGUGUCAGAUUGGUAGCAUGAGCAGUACAGUACCAGAUGUGGGCAACUGCUGCAGUUGUAACUCCUACCAUGACGGAACUGUUGCGAACGAAAGAUGGGAUUAAAACGAUUUUUUGUAAACUUUUUGACGAGGCUGAGAGAGCGUUCACAGACAAAGGAAGAGUAACAGAGGAUAUUCUUACUGCUCUCCAAUCAGUCUUUCCUUCCUCUCUACUACCUGCUUGUGAGCUAGUGGACAAAGGAGCUAUCACUAGAGUAGUUUCCCCUUCUAGAAGUGGCAUCUAUCAGGUUUAAACCCUUGUAUUUAGUAUCCAAAUUGAUUACAUACAGUUGUAUUUACUUUGCUGCUCAAGUAUAGUAUCUGCCGAGGGGAUCUUCUGACCUUGGAAUUUUUUUUAGUUUGUUGAGUUAGAUACAUUAUGAGCCUAGGUAUUUACAUGCAGAUUUUAUGAGCCAGCAUUAUUGGUUGCAGAAAUCAGAUUUAACUGCAUUUCACAUUGCUGAUUUAUACAUUGCAUCUCACAGGUAGUUGGCGCAUCAGGUGUGAUAUACACUUGCUUCGAAUCAAGUACAUACUGUUCUUGUCCAGCUUAUAGAUUUUCAGUGCAAGCAUCAUCUUGCUAUGAGGUUGUCCAACAUUACCAGAAAAACCAAGGUUACAAAUCUUACUGAUCAACAGAUGGCACAGCUUCUUUCCUCUCUGGGUUAAAUUCCACAAACUUGAUAUGAGCUCACCAGUUAGUGGAAAGUAAUGCCACUGGUAUGUGGAAUGAAUUACAGAUCAUAAAAGAAAUGCUUACAUUUCAUCAAACUAUAUAGAGGAAGAAAUUCUGUAUAUGUUAAGUUGGUGUGUUUAUGCAUCCACUUGUGCAUGACUAUGAGCUUAAGCCUAGAGUUAACAGUGAAUUUUUAACCAAUACAAGAUGCCACCUGUACAUGCUUAACCUACACAAGAUAAUACAAGUGCACGAGCAUAAGCUUAACUGUUUAAGUGUUGGUGCUGUCAGGGCUUGAGUUUUUCUUGAUUAUGUUAUUUCCAUGAAAUGUGAGAUAUCUGCCAUAAGCAAUUGUAAAUGGACUCUUAAGAUCGUGUGUAUUGUGGAUCUCUCUCUUUUUUUUUUUUUAACUCAAUGUCUUCUGUAUAGACCAGUUAGUUCCAUGAUAGAAGUAAUCUGUACAGUUCAGUGUUAUAUCUGCUCCAUCUAGUAAUAUUUUGCUUAGCUGGCUGUUCUAGAAAUAAAGUUUGCAAAUUGU